CCGCCCGUUGGAUGGGCGGGAGGUGUCCGGCCGCCCUACGCCUCUCGUCCGUUGGUCGGGCGGGAGGUACCCCUUUUUGAAAAUUUUCCAAAUCGGUACCCCUUUUUUAAAUUUAAAUUUUUUAACCUUUAAAGAAAAAAUUCGAACUGACGGACAGACGCACGCCUCUAGUCAAAACAAAAGGCCCACCGAUUGCGCUGAUUUAUCUUCACGAAGCCGUCGCGACUCAUGCUCGAAGCAGCAGCGGCGGCAAGCGACGCUGGACGAUCGCGACACCGGGGGAGGCGGCACGGCGGCCGGCCGGCAGCACUGGGGCAGGUAGCCAACACAUUCAGCAACUACUGCAAGCAAUUGACAGCGGCUCAAGGGGAAGGAGAAGGUAAAUAGGGCCCCAGUUUAUGCCGGCACGGCCCUGGUGGUACCUUGACAAACAGGUUGCUGGGAGGUUUGUGGAGUACCAUCGCUUGAGCAUGGUGACGGUCCGGGGCGCAGGCCACCUGGUGCCUCUCAACAAGCCUGCUGAAGGGCUGACGGUGAUCAACGCAUUCCUCCGUGGCGAGCAGCUCCCAACACACCGUUGAUGGACGUGUGCUGUGUGAUAGUGCAAGGUUAAAGGGAAGAUGGCAUUGGAUAAACCACAACGAUGUUUGGCCCGAAACUUACAACUUGGGCUCUUGCAUUUCGACUACUGUUCGUCGAAAGGUCCAACUUUUUAAUCCGAA